CUCAUCUCCCGCUCCGCUGCCGCCCCUGCUGCUCCGCCGGCCCGACCUCUUUAUCGGGCACGGCUGCAAGAGCAUCUCCACCUCUCCACUCCCUCACACAACAGCACUCCAACCCCCCACCCCCACGCUCGGCUACCGCUAGGGUUUCUUACCCUCGCUGCCCCGCCAUGAUAGCUUGAGAGUGCAGUCGGCGGCGGCGGCGAAGGCGGCUCCUCAGAGCAGGGACGCGUCUCCCGUCGAAAUCCAAGUCCGUUCGUGCGAGCUUCUCCUCCCCUCGAUCCGAUCUUCACCUUCGCUCAUGGUGGCCGUCAGCUGCCCUCCCGCCGGCGGCCAGCUUGACCUGCACGGCACUCAGUUGCCCGCAUGGCCCACCUCCUCCCCAUCGCGGCACUCUGCAUGGCGCUUGUUGGCUGCCGUUGGGCUUGCUUGCGGCGCACAGAUCGGGUCGCGCGCGACGGCUACAUCAUCGCCGGAUCUGUCCUUUCGUCCGACAGCGACCCCAACCCCAGCGCCCUCCUCCACCGCCCGCUUCCCCCACUCCCGCUUGACUCCACGGGCCGGUGGCGACGCUCUGCCCGGAGAUCCGUGGAUCUGCGUCUGCCAGCCGCAUUUGGCCCUCCGUCCACUGUGCUCUGCCGGCCCUGGCUCGCGCCGGGGUGGCCCUUGGCUCGUCACCAGGCUCCUGUGUGGCUUGCUCUCGCACGCCUAGAUGCACCAUUGUCGGGUUCCCUGUUGCCCCUCUGAUAUGAUAAAUGCAUCCACCCCUCGCAUCCAUUGGCUUGGGUACCUGAUGGAUUUGGUCUGGUCCGCCUACAGAGAUGUUGGUUCCGUUGUUUGCACAUGUAUCCUGAUGCCGGUUUCUCACCAUGGCUGUCAAGUACCGCCUCGUGAAGGAGUGGAGAAGACAACGUGCUCUGGUUCUCCUCCAGCAUGGUCAAAACAAUGGUGCCUUCACCCUUGCUCGUGCCUCAACCCACAUGGUCAUCUUUGAGACGUGGUAUUCAGUCACAUGACAGAGUUCUCUUUAUCCUUGAGGUCAGGUGCGGAAACUAGCGACAUGUGCUGGAGCUUCUGGCGGCGACAUCACCUGCAUCGACCUCUCCCUGGUCGCCUUCGAGAGUGUGUGCGGCUGACCAUCAAGCUUGUUAUGACGCACUUUGAAUUUCCGAGCAAGUCGCAGCCUUUUCAGAUUCAUCAACACAGGUUACAUCAGUAGUCAAUAUGGUUCAGAUGCAUAAUAGUACGUACUUCAUUUCCUUUUUGUUGUUUACGGUGUCCUACAACAUGGAUCAUAUAUAUCGAUUAUCUUUCAGGUUCAGUUUGCUGUGGCGAAUUCUUCUUGAAUUUGUUGCAGCAAACUUGUGGUCAUGUAUGGUUUUUAGUUUUGUAAGCCUGCAUAGUUUAGAAGUUAGAAAGCUCGUUCAUGUAUUGUUCUAAACUGAAAGUUUAAGUGGCUUUUCCACCCAUGGUAUUGUGGUGGUCAUAAUAGCACACCUCGCAAUUAUUGAUGGCCAGAUCUACAAGCCCUGAGCGGUGUGUUUUUUAGCCCCCUCUGUUUCUCCUGGGCAUCAAUCUAUGCACAACAAGCUCUUCAGUGCUUGAUGACAAAUAAAGGUUGCAUCUUAGAUAGUUGCUUGAUUUGAAUGAGCCAUUUUGCUAUCAGCUAAAAGUCAGAUGUAAGAUUAUGUUUCUUGGCACAUGAGUUAUUUUUCAGUCAACGCGUGGCGAGUCCACUUCGAACUGAUAUAUGCACUUUUUAUUUGAAACUGAACCACCAUGGUUUAAUUUUAUUUUCAUUUGGACAAGUUACCCCAAGUAUCAUCAGUUCAUGAUGACUGGUUUGGUGUGGUGAAUUGAUCCUGGUGCUGAUUUAAGAGUUUUUUAUGACACUGCCUUGUAAGGGAGUAAGGUCUGGUAUCUAUAUGGCUAUUAUUUUAUCUCUUACAGAUUGCCAUAUAUGACAUGCUAAUUGUUUUUAGCUCUUGAUAUAGUUAAACUUUUUUUUCCGAAACGAAGGCAAAAGAUUUGCCUCAUCCAUUAAGUGGGAGGAGAAUAGAGUUAAACUUUGGAUGCACCAGUGCCUGAUGCAUAUGUUUGUUUACUUGGUUUGAACUCUGAAUGAUAUGUUGUUAUCCUGAUUGCAUGCCUGAUGAGUUGGUUCUGCUGGUAUUUUGAGGAGGCAAGCUGUGGUUUUACUCCUGGCCCUGAGAAGGGUGAACUAGGCCAUAGCGAGGGUGCCCUCAGGAACAUCGAGUCAGGGUGCCUCACUUUCUAUUUCAAUCUGCGAGGUAAUGAAGGCAAAAAAAAAGUUUCUACUCGCCCUGUUCUUGCAACUAAUCAGAGAAAAACUGUGUGGUUACUGAAGCAUUAUGGUUUGUAGUUACCGAAGCAUUGCAUUUUUUGAGAAAGUGUUCCUUAUACCAUGUAAGUAGGGACAAUUACUAUUUAACUAGGUACAAUUAAUAUUUAACAAGCCACAAUUGAUCAAGCAGUCAAUGCUUAAAUAUGCCCGUACUCUGUCGUAUCCAGGAUGGAGCUUUGCUAGCUUUUGAGUUGGAUUCUCUUUCGACUACACCUAAAUAUGACAAACCAACAGUAAAUGAGCUCAUUUUAAAAAACUGCAGUUUAAAGGAAAUUAUUACAAUAUACUUGCUAGACCUUCUCAUUACACUCUUUCACUUUUUUGGCCUAACACUAUCCUGUAUAGACCUAAUAACAGAAGACAUGGGAAAUGCUUUCGUAACAUAAUGUUUUUUUGUUAGAUGCUCUGUUUAUUUAGUGUCGUUGAUCCAAAAACUUGAAAGUGUAGAAAUGUAAAGGCAUGGGACUAUAGAACCAAGUAUUUCUCGAUUUGGUGAUGCUUUAUUCAGAGUUCUUGUGCAUCAGAUUGGAGUGUUACCACAAACCUGUUAUUUAUUUCACUUCAUGUGAGUGCCAAGGCCUUUUUUGUGUCCCCUCUAAUCAUUGCAUUUGUAUCUUGAUCAUUGUAUUAACGAAAAGCAAAAUAUUUCUCAUGUUUUGCUCAGUGUGUCUACUUCUCUUCUUUAUUAUAUUAACUAUUUUUGGAUGAUAUUUCACAAGAAUGACAUUGUUAGAUUUAGAUUCGUUAGGUUUCAACGCAUUUGAAUAUGACAGCUAUAUGCCUAUGCCUCUGUGCAAGUUUUACCCAAUGGUACAUCAGUGUUUCACUAUGAACGACUUCACUGAUUGUUAGGAAUAUUUCUUAUUUCACACUGAAGUGUUUAUCAGUAUGUUGGAAGAACAUCAUAGCCAAUCAGAGAAUGCAGGUGCUAGAUGUGCUAUAAUUACUCAUAUGUUGGCUGUUGAUAUAUGAGCUUUGAUGAACCUAGCUUCAAGAAAGUCGUUCUAUGCAUUCCAAUCCAAAAAUAACUUCAAAAAACUGAUUUUCAUUUCUGAACAUUAUUCUGUUAUCGUGGAUAUUUCCACUCUGUUUCAUGUGUGAUUAACAUUUUUAGUUUGCUAUUUCAUUACUAACUCCACAUAGACAGAUAGACUGGUAGAUAGUCACUCAGAGUGUUUGAUCCUCCUAAUCACAUCAUAUCUGUCUCUACCUGUGGCUUUAGACAAAAACGUCCAUGCUCAAUACAGCUGGUUCCCCCAAGUUCAGCAGUGACCAUAUGAUACACCAGUACGCAAAAGAUAUAUGGGAUAUCAUCCCCGUCAUCAUGCUUUGAAUAAUUUAAUCAGUUUACAGAAACCUUGAGUCUGUGAGGCGCAAUCAGUCACAGAUUUGCCUCGACUCCUCAUUGGGAAGGUGUUGCUGCCCUAGCUUUGUGUAGGAACAUGCAAGUUCUGACAUGGGCCUGAGAGCUGAGAGCAUGUAGUUUCGUCACUCACUCGCUGAUGGUUAUAUUAAAUCAAACCAAUUUGUGUCAAGCAUCUCUAUGAACAGGGAACAUUUUUUUUGGUAGAAAUUCCAGAUUAACUUGAUAAGAGAGCAACAUCAGGAUUUUAUGUUUGGAACUAUUGAAAUUAUUUUGCCUUCUCUACUGAUGGCGCAAAGAACAUGAAGAAUACGAGAUAUAAUAGAUAGAGCAAUGAAUCUUAUCACCAAAAGAUUACAGAGGACAGUUAUCCCACAUUUUGGCAUGGUGAUGUUACCGGACGGUGUUCUUCCAUGCUAACUAUAAUGCACCCACAUUUUGUGGCGACAGAGCUAGGACAUACUAUAAAUCUAUGGUAGAUGCAGAAACGUGUUCUUCUAUAAGCAUGUGCUUGUAACAUGGGCAUACUAAUAAUUCCAUCAUGCUCCCUUCUCUCUCGCUCUUCUUUUGAAAUCCCAUUAUAUGAAUAAUAACAUGAAAAGAAUGGGCGUUUUCCAGAGCUUGGCCUAAUUUAAUAUGUUCUUAUGGUACUACAAAAAUGGUAAUAUGUUACUACAAUGUAUUUUCCAGAAAUCUCAUUGUUCAUUUACUGAAUAAUACUAAUUGCUAUCAUUUUAUUUUUCAGGAUACCUCUAAUUAUUUUUAAUGUGAUAUGUUUCAUUGCAGGGUGAUACGUAUGAAGGAAAAGAGCCAGAGCGGUGCUUGGAUAAAAGUCAGUGCUGGAAUUUGUUUGGCAUAUGCGGAAAUCUUGGUAAAGGAUAAGGACGCACACGGCGGUGAGGUUAGUAGGGGCGUAACAAACGAGAAGGGCGGGCGUGGCAAUGGCCAUUCAUGUGUCAGACGAAAAUUGUACACCCACAUGUGUGACGAGGCUGACAUAUGCAUCAACGAGCAUGGUGAUGAGGUGAGAGUUGGAAGCGUGGAUGUACUUGACAAGGAGCAAGUAGAUGUGAGCAAGCAUGGUGGGCAAUGUCGACAAUGUUCACGCGAAUGAGAAGACCAAAGAGGAAGGUGAUGCAUGCCUGUGCAUAUUUGUGGCGGAAUGGACAGUUUGAGGGGAAUUAGCCUGUGUCUUUGGACAGGUUGUCGACAGAUAAAAGUUUUAUAGUUUGGCUUGAGGAGUAACAUAGACAGGCAUGCUGGUGCUAUAAGGCUAUAUCUCUCUUCGUGGACAAGAGCAUACAAUGCUUCAAGUUUCAUGGAAGUUUUUAAAUUCCAUUAUGAGGCUCAAUCUGAAAUAAAAUGGUGUCUUGCUUU